UACGUAGGGACCAAGCGUUGUUCGGAUUUACUGGGCGUAAAGGGCGCGUAGGCGGCGUGUUAAGUCAGCUGUGAAAUCUCCAAGCUUAACUUGGAACGGUCAGCUGAUACUGGUGUGCUAGAGUGCAGAAGGGGCAACCGGAAUUCUUGGUGUAGCGGUGAAAUGCGUAGAUAUCAAGAGGAACACCUGAGGUGAAGACGGGUUGCUGGGCUGACACUGACGCUGAGGCGCGAAAGCUAGGGUAGCAAACGGG
rnacentral:rRNA from 1 species